rnacentral:rRNA from 1 species
CCUACGGGUGGCAGCAGUGGGGAAUAUUGGACAAUGGGCGAGAGCCUGAACCAGCCAAGUCGCGUGAAGGAUGACGGCCCUACGGGUUGUAAACUUCUUUUGUCAGGGAGCAAUUGAGUCCACGUGUGGGCUUAGCGAGAGUACCUGAAGAAAAAGCAUCGGCUAACUCCGUGCCAGCAGCCGCGGUAAUACGGAGGAUGCGAGCGUUAUCCGGAUUUAUUGGGUUUAAAGGGUGCGUAGGCGGAAUAUCAAGUCUGCGGUAAAAAUUCGGGGCUCAACACCGGCCUGCCGUUGAAACUGGUCUUCUUGAGUGAGCGAGAAGUAUGCGGAAUGCGUGGUGUAGCGGUGAAAGGCAUAGAUAUCACGCAGAACUCCGAUUGCGAAGGCAGCAUACCGGCGCUCAACUGACGCUGAGGCACGAAAGCGUGGGGAUCGAACAGGAUUAGAUACCCUUGUAGUC